UCGGCCCUUUUAAUCCCUUUCCUUCCAAUCUCUCUCUCCGGUAGUAUGAGCGGCCGGGUGAGCGCAGCAGACGGAUGGAGAAGGCUGCGAGGCCUCGAUGGGGAUAGAUUGGAGCUCCUCUUGCAGUGACGCUUGCUCCUCCUCUCUCUCCAUUACAACGCUUCUAAUCCUCAAUCCAUGACUCCUGUAGGUAAAUCUCGUUCCUAUGCUCUCACGUCAAGGCCAGUGGAGGAUAGACUGCGGCACAUGUUUACGUUUCUUCUGUAUAGGCAAAGGCAGGGGUUCUUCUGGGCUUCUUGCGACUACAGCGCCGUCAUGUCUCGAUACCAUCGCCUCCAUGCACUCUCCCCGCUCCUCUUUGUAGUAUAUUUAUGGUGAUGUAACUUCCGAUUUUCAUAGAAUAAUUUUGGUAUUUUCUGGUACCAGUAAUAUUCAUUCUUUUUUGACGUGCUAAAAUGUUAUGCAAAUACUAGAUUUGGCUAAUUCUGAUUUGUGCAUCUAUUCAUUGUUCCAUUGAUUUUUUUUAAAUUGAUGUGCCCUCCUAUGGCACUCUUUAAAUAUAUUUUUCUACUGAUCUUGAUGUAUACACAGAAAAAAAAGGGCACUGAUGUCACAUGAACCCCUUGCAAGCAAAAAUAAGUUGCUGAAAUUUUGCCAUGAUUUGUCUUUCGUCAUGCUUCCCAUGGACAGAUUAUAAAACGCCAUGUGCCGCAGUCUAUGAUUCAUAAGAUAAGAAAUAAAAGAGUACUCUCGCCAUUCAACGAUCGCGCACCACGUGAUGUGUCUAACAGUAGCAACAGCCAGCUGAAGCCUCGGCUUUGUCAGGAGAAGGGGGGCAAGGUUUCACGACAUCUACAAUGCAGUCAGCUACAGAAGAAAAGAUACUGGUGUAACAACAGUAUUUACGUACACCGGAGAUCCCAGAUCAAUUAAGGCUCAAGUGUCAAACUACAAAUUCUCCUGCUGUGGAAUUGUUCGGUAGUGGCCCUUCACUCAGCAUUUGAAUUGGUCAAUAGCUACCUCCCGAGUUAUUUACUAGGUGGAGACCAGAUUCGUUGCUUAUUAUGAGCGACUAGAUAGAUGAACAUUCCGUAAGUUUGGCACCACCUCAAUUUAUGCCACUUUCGUAAAGCUACUGAACAGAUCAGUGGAUUACUUUGUUAAUCUUUCAGCAUAGGUCCAAUACAUAAUAAUUGUCACAAGUGGGAGCUCUCGAAUGAAACAUGUAACAUAAAAUUAAAUACUACAUAAAUGUUUAGAAGGUGAAACCCUAUCAAGACUAAUACCAUUUGUUUACUACCUAUUGUUGCAUGGAUCAAAGUAAAUGUACAUGUCAGUUGUGAUGGAGAUUUUGCACAAUCAAGACUUGGGUUAUAGCUAG